GGUCUGCUGAGAAUGAAGAACAAACCUAGAGGAGACAUGAAGUCCUUGGAGGCAUCCAAACACAUAGACAAAAUGCUGAGGGACAUGGAGGGAUGCCGUGAUGCAGCCGGCCCGACAACACAUGCUGAGAACAACUGGAAAAGCAGGAGAAGUGUUUUCUGCUAGGGAACACCUUGUUUGAAUACGUUGAUAGCAAUUGUGGCUGGUGCAGCACUUUGCCUGAUGAUGUGCUGUACUGGAAUCUGGUAUUGCUGGAAGAAACAAUGGCACCACCUUGAAGAAACGCUGAAAGCUGGUUGCUGGCCCCGAGACCUCUACUGCUGGAAGAGCAAUAGCAGCAGCUCUGAGUCUGACCUGUUUUCCUUUUCACCCCCAAGCUCUGUGGUGAUUUGAGGACCCCUCCCUCCAGGGCCAAAUGUGAAAGCCUCAGGAAAGCAUGUGGAACUGCACAACUGAAUAUUGAGUGAGAGCUUCCAAAAUCAGCUCUUCUGUUGCAAUAAAGAGAUGGAGCUCUCACCCCAGUGUCCAGGUGGCAGCAGCAGCAAAGCCCACCUGGAACCAGCCCUGGCUGAGCUCCACGCCCAGGGGCAGCCGUGGAUGCCCACGGGGUAGGCAGGCAGGAGCCAGGCAGGGGCUGCUGUGAGCAGCAGCAGGGCUCUGAGGACUAGGGGAGCCCAGGGGGCAGGCAGCAGCAUGGGGCUCCUGAGAAAAAGAGACCCCAUUUUGUCUUUGUUUUUCAGUUUUAGAAAUUAGACAUUUUUAGAAAUAUUUCAAAAUAUUUUUUCUGUAGAGAGACAUCCCUAAUUAUUACUUUGCAAUCACUAUAGUAGUUAAGGAUUUUUCAAAGAAGAUUAAAAAUCUGAAAAAGUGACCCCAUUUUGUCUUCACUAUUUUUGAAAUAUUAGAAAUACUUUUUGUAGAGAGAAAUUCCCAAAUGUUUCUUUCCUUAUCCCACAGUACAUCUCUAGUUAUGAAAGUAGUUUUAUGUCACCGACAUGUUUUAUGAAAAAUCCUUUCCUUAGGAUUUCUCCCCUCCUGAGAAAUUAAAAGGCCUCAGGAACAAAUUGUAAACAAUUCUUAAA